GGAGAGGUGGCUGAGUGGUCGAUAGCGGCGGUCUUGAAAACCGUUGAACCUUCACGGGUUCCAGGGGUUCGAAUCCCUUCCUCUCCGCCA
rnacentral:tRNA from 1 species